rnacentral:sRNA from 1 species
AUUUAGCCUUGAUAGCAGCGGCAUCCUUUAUGCUUGUUGUUCAAGCAGAAAGAUACAGCGAAUAGCGAGAGUUAAU